UCAACUUAGACAAACAACAACGAUAAUAAAGCAAAGUAUAUAAAGUACCAGAGGCAACACUCCACCUGGAUGAAAAAGCCAUUAACGGUAUUGGUCUGGUUAAAUUGAAACGUUAAUAAUGCGUAAGGACGCAAUGACCGGAAACGUAUCAAACGGUAUUCCUACCCAGCGAUGAUUAACGCAGCAUCAAAGACGAUGUAUAGAUCCAAAAUAAAUCCAGAUAAAAAUGUAACCCUAUCUGGUGAUCGAUAGCGGGUUAUACGGAGAUUCAGUGUGCCCGCAUUCGGCGCAAAGGCUCACACACAAAACAAAAUUCAGUCUAAUAAAUCUUUAGUGCAACACACUGGAAGGUUUGGACUUUAACGAGAAACAGAAUACACUGCACAUUAAAAGUUUUACAAAAGUUCUAACUUGACUAGAAGUUUGAAAUGUCGGUACUAAGGUUCUGUAUGCCUCGGCAAGACAAAAGAUAAUUUAUCUGUUUUCGGAUGCCCUUGCCUACUGUGGUCCUAAGCUCUUUAUCCUACUACCGGUAUGGGAUCUUUAUUAUAAAAAAAACGACAAUUGCUAGAUGAGCACUGCAGGUCGAUUCACAAAAUUGAGAAACGGAACGGUACAGUAGUUAUUUAAGUUUGCCUACUAUGAAUAUAAAAUAGGGCUAACUGUUCAUACUGAAUAGCUUAUUGCUCGAGAUAGUAAAACGGUACGAUAAGUUAAAGGUUAAGUUCACCCACGAUAGGCCACGGCUUAAAUACUAUCUUCGCCGUUCAGAUCAUCAUUCUCAUAUAGAAUGCUCUGGUAUUACUAGAUCGUCCUCUGUGACCACAUUCAAAGUAGUAAGCUUCAUCAUACGCAAUGUAUAAGUGCUAAGAUAUAAGUCGAUUCCAUGUUCUCGGAGAAUGUCCAAUUGACUGAUAUCAACUUUGACCACCAAUAUCUAACUGUAUGAGACUACAUUUCCAAUUCCAGUAUGUAUGUUGCAUUCUACAAGAUUCAGUGAACUCUCCGCUUGUCGUAGUGAAGAUCAACCUCUUUUCCAAGGGACGAAUUCACUAUUCCGAUACAUCAGAUCGAUAGUAUAGUAUACCCCUCAGUAAUAAAUUUCUGACCUUGCAAUGAUUCAUAGAUCCUUAUAUGAAGAAUGAAUCAGUUUUGUCCAAUCUUGAGAUAAUGACUUCUUCGGGGGCUUGGUGUGAGUGAGCUAAUUUACACUUCACAGAUUUAGAUAAGUUUAGCUUUUCGUCUGUCGAUCUGCAUCGUGGGGUUUGUUUGAAGUGCAUUUUUGAUUUAGGUAAACUAUUUCUCCACUUCGGACGACUACUAAUGUUUUUUAUUACCGUGAGCAAAAUGCCCAUUUUAAAUUUUCCUCGUAUUUAUUAUGCAUUCAUUGACACGCGACACGAUACAGCCUUUUAUAGUUUUAUCGCUCUUAAUUCACAAAAUAAAUAUUUUAACCAGCGUUUCAUUGUAUCUUAAAUAAGAGUAUUUGUAGGUAUAAAAAUUAAAUUUAAUGUCUAGCACAGUUUCUUAAAAAAUAGAAGAACAAUUUUUGAAAACUAUCUUUAAAUAAACAGUCUUCAUUAUUUUAUAUACCGUAGACCAUUGGAAUCAGUGUGGAGUUUUGUGGGCACAUAGCCUUUGCAUACAGGAGGUCUACCGCUCUGCAGCCAGUGAAUAAGGUUACUGAAGCAUUAGUAACUACUGGCUCAAGGGUUUUAAACGGUAUAACAUUGACCAAAUUCUUUGGAAUAAUAGUACUGGGUUUUGCAAAAUCUCAAAUAUUUAAAAUUUUCUAUUUCAAAAUGUACCUCAUCAUGGUGAUAUCAGGAGCCCUCCAUGGUUUAGUGUUUCUUCCUGCACUUCUCUGUUUUAUAGGUGAAACCCUUCAUAUGUAGUAUAAUAAUUUUAUUCGAAUUAAUAAGUGUAUUAAACACUAACUCCAGUAUUUUUGAUACCUUUAAAGCAAAACUAGCAUAAGAGUUAUGUAUCACAAGCAAUGUAUUACAUCUUAGAUUCGCAUUGUAUGUAAAAAGUUUUUCUAAAUAUACGUAUAUGUAGUUAGUUUGA